UGAGGAAUAUUGGUCAAUGGUCGCAAGACUGAACCAGCCAUGCCGCGUGCAGGAAGACGGUCCUAUGGAUUGUAAACUGCUUUUGUACAGGAAGAAACACUGGUUCGUGAACCAGCUUGACGGUACUGUUAGAAUAGGAAUCGGCUAACUCCGUGC
rnacentral:rRNA from 1 species